UGGUGCUGCUUAAUCCUGGCUACUACCAGGCAGGUUCUCCCUACUCAUUGAAGCUUAGUAGCAACAAGCCCUUCACUGUAAAGAGAAUUUUUUGUCCUCUCACUUGGGACUAAAGGUCAAAGUUUAAAUCUAUAUUUAAUGCCAUUUUCUGAAAACUGGAUUUGUGAUUCCCUUUAUGUUGGUAUUACAUAUCUUAAGGGAUUUCAAGGGGAGAAAUCUGGGAAGCCCAGUUUCUGAGAAUGACCUUUACUUUAAAUGUGUAAAUAGGAUGGAGCUUGUAUUUCUGCUUUUUAAACCUUUUAAUUGUGCUUCCAAAGACAAUUCCGGAAAGCAGGGGCUGUGCUGAGUGGUUACCUGGAAGCCACUUUGAAAAGAAGAGACUCAGAUUUUUGUCUUAUACAGAAAGGCCAAAGGUUAAUGGCUCCUGCUCUGUUGGCCUGCUAGGGACAGUCUCUUUUGAAGCUUUGUACCUUGAGCUAUGGUGAUCCCAUAUUAGAAUAUGCAAAUAGUACGGCCUUUAACUGCCUCGGAAAAGGGAAAGUUCAAAUUUACUUAAUUCUAUUUUUCCUCUGAAUUUUAUAAAACAUUAUUGAAGUGGUAUCAGAAUAUCAUUCAGAAUGUCAGUUUUAGAAUAUUUCAAAUAUUUACCUAAAGUUUUUUUUAAAGGGCCGCUUUCACUGUCUGAAUGUGGCACUAAAGGCAGUUAUAAAAUUGACUUUCCUUGCACUUCAUAAGCUCAGACUUGCAUGUUUAAAAAGUAGUGAUGGGAAUUUCUCAGUUUGCAAACAGCCUCUGGGCAUGGCCAGAUAGAUAGAUACAUAGAUAGACAGGAAGAAAUAAUUCUAAUAUUUAAUAAAUAUACCACGAUAAGCUUAUUUAAAAAAAAAAAGUUGAUCCUCAUGUUAUUAUCACGUAAUCUCCAGUACUUCCGACUCCUAAAAUUUGGAGCUUGUUAUUUUGAAGCUAGAUGUGAUUUGUCCUCCAUGGUCUCUGUACAGUCAGGCCACCCAGCAUGGCUGUCCUCUUGCUAUCUGUCCAUCACCUGCUCCACCAGUACCUGCUUCACCUGACCCUACUCACAGGACAGACCUUCCUAAAUAGCUGCCCCCACCCUGGCUAGUGAUUGCUCCAACUUUUAGAUCAAAACAUCUCCACCUGUUAUCAAUGUGGUGGUGAAGGGCAUGGCUCUCUGCUGGUUUCCCUGGUAACUGAUGAGCCCACCUGAUGUCAAUUCCCCCUGGAACCUCCCCUUCCUCCAGGGAGCAGAGACUGCCACCCUGGCCUGCCCCGUCAUCUGCUUCACACUUCAGGGUGUCGCUCUAGAACCUGGUUCAGACAUGCAGAAGAAGAGGAAAGGCAAAAGGCAAAUGUCUCUCAAGUCUGUUCCCUUUCAAAGAGCAGUCCUGAAAGCUCCAUCCAGUGACCUGACUUACCUUCCAUUGGCCAGAAUGUCAUGGGACCACUCUCUCCAAGGAAGACUGAGAAAGGCUGUGGGAGUUUUGUUUGUUUUUUAAGCAGGGCACAUUGCCUCCCUGAAAAAAAGAAAUUGAGAAUGGUUCUGCUGGAAAGGAAGAGAAGGAAUGAAAGGAAUCAACAUUGCAUAGGCAAAUAUCUGUGACUGCAACAGCUUGUUCUUGGUCUCCUGACCAUCUGAAUCUUCAUCCACUACUCUGUCCUCUAUAUCCCCUAAAAGAAAUCUGACCAUACUGUGCCCCUAUUUAAAAUAUCUCUGUUGAAUCCUCCGUGGCCACAGAAUAAAGAACAAACACUUUGGUCCA